rnacentral:rRNA from 1 species
CCCCUAAGUCUGGGAUACCAUUUGGAAACAGGUGCUAAUACCGGAUAAUAAAGCAGAUCGCAUGAUCAGCUUUUGAAAGGCGGCGUAAGCUGUCGCUAAGGGAUGGCCCCGCGGUGCAUUAGCUAGUUGGUAAGGUAACGGCUUACCAAGGCGACGAUGCAUAGCCGAGUUGAGAGACUGAUCGGCCACAUUGGGACUGAGACACGGCCCAAACUCCUACGGGAGGCAGCAGUAGGGAAUCUUCCACAAUGGACGCAAGUCUGAUGGAGCAACGCCGCGUGAGUGAAGAAGGUUUUCGGAUCGUAAAGCUCUGUUGUUGGUGAAGAAGGAUAGAGGUAGUAACUGGCCUUUAUUUGACGGUAAUCAACCAGAAAGUCACGGCUAACUACGUGCCAGCAGCCGCGGUAAUACGUAGGUGGCAAGCGUUGUCCGGAUUUAUUGGGCGUAAAGCGAGCGCAGGCGGAAAAAUAAGUUCUAAUGUGAAAGCCCUCGGCUUAACCGAGGAACUGCAUC